GGACCUGGGGGCUAGACAUCAUGCUGUCCAAAAAGCAGAAAUCAGGUUAUCAAAAGAAGAAAGAAAGGAAGGAAAAAGAAAGAAGGCAGAAUGAGGGGAGGCAGCUGUUGACGGCUUCCUUUCCCAAAGUUUCAGAAACAAACAGUGGCGCAGCCGCAGCAGCUGGAGCAGCAGUGGCCAGUCCUGGCAGCUCUUCUGAAGAUGAGCCUGAGGUUAGAGAUGAGCAAAGACAAGAUUUGCAUCAUAUGACUUGCUGAUGCGUUUCUGGGCCAUGAUCGAGCCCGCUCUGCCAUCCAUGGUCAGUGUUCGCCAAGGACAGAGAGGAACUCUCAUGGACUCCACUCACUCAACCCAUUGAUGAGUUCUUCCUGUUCUUAAAUGAUCUUGCCCUUGGAUCCAAACAACGGGACCUUGCUGACCGGUACGGUGUCCAUCAGUCCACGGUCAGCCGGAUCAUCACAGCAUGGAGCAACUUUUUAUUUACAGUACUCGGCUGAAUUAGGAUCUGGAUACCUGAGGACCAGAUAUGUAAAAAUCUACCUGCAGACUUCAAGGAUUUCCCUGACACUACAGCCAUCCUUGACUGCACUGAGUUGAGGUGUCAGUGCCCAUCUUCCCCUCUCCUCCAGAGUGAAGUGUUUCCAUCUUAUAAAUCACACUGCACUCUGAAGGGGCUGAUUGGGAUCGCACCACACGGGGCAGUGACAUUCAUCUCAGGACUAUAUGUGGGUUCCAUCAGUGACAAGCAGAUCACACGUGAAUCUGGUCUCCUCACCCUCUUAAAACCUGGGAUGGCUGUCAUGGUGGACAGAGGCUUUCUUAUAGACGACAUUGUACCCUGCAAGAUUUACAGGCCAGCAUUUCUCUCCGGCAGGUCUCAGAUGUCUGCAGAUGAAGUUAGGGAGACCCAGGCCAUAGCACGCCUCAGGGUGCAUGUGGAGCGCCUCAUUCACAGAGUCAAAGAGCACAAAUUAUUUGACUCUGAAAUUCCACUAGGUGUUUUUGGGAUAAUCAACCAACUGUACACUGUUGCUUGUCUGCUCACCAAUUAUGAAAAUGGCCCACUAGUAAAGGCUUGGGCAAAGAAGCCUGCCAUCUGAGCAACUGCAGGACAGUAGAUUGUAAAUUCACUUUUCAUGUUGUUAUAGUUUUGUACUUACAAUA